UUUCCGUAGGUGAACCUGCGGAAGGAUCAUUAGUGAAUCAACAAAUGCAGGUUGUGCUGGCCUUCUUGGUAUGUUCACGCCUGCCAAUGUUUAAUUCCAUCUUCCCACCUGUGCACUCUGUGUAGAUUCUGUAUGCUGUGGUAAUGCCUUUAUUGUGGUUGGUUGAGAGGAUUUGAUUGUUUUCACAAACAAGCUCUUCUUAAGCAUGCAGGUAUAUGUUUAUAUAAACACCAUAUGAAUGUUUUAGAAUGUGUAUCAGGCUUUUGGCCUUUAAAUUAUAUACAACUUUCAACAACGGAUCUCUUGGCUCUA
rnacentral:misc_RNA from 1 species